UAAAAUUUGUACUUCUUUACUGCACACAUGUGCUAGCUCCUGCUGGGCAUGUCCACCCAUAAUAUACUUAUAGCUGUAAGAGUAACAUCAGAUCGAGUUACUAGUGUCUAUCAUUUAUUACUCCUUUCCGGGCUAUAUAUAUGUUAUAGUUUGUUGGCAUUGUUAUUCUUGUAUACUGUGCACUCAUAUAUCUCUUCCCUCCUUGUAUAGUUCAACCUCAAAGGACAAUGAAGUUGAAAUAUAUACAUGAUGACAUGAGCACACAAUGGGAAUGAGUAGCAUUAGGAACAGAAUACUUUCAUGGUUGUGAAACAAUAGAUAAUUAAUCCAUUGAAUAUUUGGUGUUUGAUCGUCGUAUUGUAGAAGCCAUGCAACAACAUGGUCUUGUGAUAUCCUGUCAACUGCUUUUUUAAGUGUCCUGGGUAUGGAAUGAUCUUAGUAACCAUUUGGUUAAUGGUAUAAGAUCGGUUGAGGUAAGGGUAGAUUGAUGAGGAAGGAGUUAGAAUAAAACGAGUACGAAAAAUAGAUAGCUAGAAUUAAAAGUUAUCUU
rnacentral:lncRNA from 1 species